rnacentral:rRNA from 1 species
UACGAAGGGGGCUAGCGUUGCUCGGAAUCACUGGGCGUAAAGCGCACGUAGGCGGCUUUCUAAGUCAGGGGUGAAAUCCUGGAGCUCAACUCCAGAACUGCCUUUGAUACUGGAGAGCUUGAGUCCGGAAGAGGUGAGUGGAACUCCGAGUGUAGAGGUGAAAUUCGUAGAUAUCGGGAGGAAUACCAGUGGCGAAGGCGGCGACCUGGGCCAAUACUGACGCUGAGGUGCGAAAGCGUGGGGAGCAAACAGG